ACCCCUCCCUCCCCCUCCCUCCUCCAUUAGUAUUGAUUAUAAAGUUGAUAGAGAUCAAGUGAGACGAGUUGAAUUCACUCAAGGAGACAAUGGUGUAUAUACAAGAUUGUUUGCAAGGAAAAUAAAGAAUUAGUAAUAACAUUAUAAUGACAGUAAAUACAGUGUGUGUGGGACUGUGUGUGUAUAAUCAUUUUAUCUCAUUUAUUUAAUAUUAGUUUUUGUAUGUGUCCAAUAAUUCUUAUAGUUGAUUGUGCUACAUCAGUUUGAUUGUUUCAUAUUUUUGUUCAAUGGCAUUUUUCAUGUAGAUACUAGGAGUUUAAAUGUUACAAUAUUAAACUUUGAGAACACAAACAUGAAAUAAAUUUUAAUUACAAUUGUUUUGUAAAUUUUACAAUACUGACUAUAUUCAUUGAUAUCAAUUAUUAUUUAGUCAUUUUGACACUAUUAUAGUA